GAAAUUCUUAAAGUAUCCAUUUAUUAAAUUGCUUCUCUUUCACUUACUAAUUUGUGCAUCAGUAGUUCAAGGAUUUAAUGUUCGCAUGUCACUCAACGAUUCUCCCAAAAGUUUCAACAAUAAGGAUUAUUCGAAGAGAUUAUUGAUCGGAUCAGUGGCGCCGGCGUGCACUUACAACGAAUGUCGUGGAUGCAAAUACAGAUGCGUGGCCGAGCUCGUCCCUGUGGAUGGUGACGACCCUUUCAAUGCCCCAUAUCGCUACAAAUGCAUUUGUCGUCGAUGGUAAUCAAUAUUAUUUUUAUUAUUUUUUUAAAAAAAUAAAAAUAAAAUAUAAGUUCUGUCAAGAAUCUCGCAUGGAAUCUUUUAGGAUUCUUAAUUAGGACACUAUUGAAAAAAAAAAGAAGAUGUCUGAUUUUUAGGGAUUA